rnacentral:rRNA from 1 species
UGCGAAUCUCGAAAGCCUGUCUCAGUUCGGAUUGGAGGCUGAAACCCGCCUCCAUGAAGUUGGAUUCGCUAGUAAUCGCGCAUCAGCCAUGGCGCGGUGAAUACGUUCCCGGGCCUUGUACACACCGCCCGUCAAGCCAUGGGAGCCGGGGGUGCCUGAAGUUCGUGACCGCAAGGAGCGACCUAGGGCAAAACUGGUGACUGGGGCUAAGUCGUAACAAGGUAAC